rnacentral:lncRNA from 1 species
UAAAAUAAAUUUAAAAUAAAUUUUAAUUCAUGUUAUUAUUCCAUCAAAAAUUUAGCAACAGUAGAAUUAUGUUAUAACAAACUUAUAACAAUCUUAAUCAAUAAUUGAUUAGGCUCAUCUAAUCUAAUCAAAAUCAGAUCAAAAAUUUUAUAUAAAUAGAUUUAAAUUAGAUUUAAUAUCUCACAAAAAAUUUUAAUUAUAUCUUAUGAAAUUAAUCUCAAAAAAUUUAGAUAUGCAUGCAUAUAUUUCAGACUAGCUCUGAUACUAAUUAAAGAGAAGGGAAAUUGUUUCUCUUCGGAUGACCCAGGUUGCAUCUAAAAAUUAUUUUAUUAACCUAUAUGAAUAAGAAUCAAAUCUUUACUUGAUUAGCAAUAGAACCAGAGAUCAAAUAUCAAAUAAUCUAAAUUAAAUCUUCACGGAGGUCUAGAAGUGUAGAUCAUCUACUUCGCAUGCACACCAGACGUCGCAGGAAAGCAGGAUGAACUCUGAUCGAAUCACCUUUGCAACCUAAUCAAAUGAUGAAAGAGAUAUGCUAUUGUGACACCUCACACCAGUAGGUGGGAUGCCCAAGGAGGGCCCAUGCCCAAGGGAAGACGGGCGGCACCAAAAGGAAAGAGGCUAAGGAGAAGAAGAAGGGCUUCUCUCUUCUUUGCCUCUCUCUCUCUCUCUUUCUCUUUUCUCUCGAUCUGAUUUGUUUGCUAUGCAUCCAUAAGUAGAGAUCCUCUCUAUUUAUAGAUGAUUCUCAUGAUUCAAUAAGUAUAGGAGUCCUAACUUAAAUCUGAUUUGAAUCGAUCCAAUACUCAUAAAAGAAAGAUUUCUACAUGAGAUAGAAUUGCUAUCACAUAUGACAACCACUUUGCACACAAUCCCUCACCCACAUGGGAUGCCCCAAACUAGCACCAUUCUAGGUGUUGGUCGGCUCACAUGAGAGAAGAAUCUAAAGGAUUUCUCAUAUCUCAUCCAAAAUGGAUCUGAUUCGAAUUCAAUUAGAAACUGGUUCGAAAUAAUUUCGAAAGGCUGUCAAUCCCAAAUUUUUUAAGACUUUUAUACCAAGUUUAACUUAAAUUUUGGAUCCAAUUAAAUUUAAUUAAUUCAAAUUUAAUUUAAAAUUAAUCAAUAUUUAAAUUUAAUCUUUCAAAUACUCCAUGGAUCAUAGAUCAAAAACUGUUCAUCCCCAGGAUUGAAUCUGAACCUCAUAUGUAGUACUAGUUAGACAUAGUCAAUUCUUCAAUCCCGUUUGACUCAUAACUUAAUUCUCAAUCAAGUUAGCUUAUAUGUUCAAUCAAGUCAAGUACUUUCAAAUUGAAUUUAUAAAUAUAAAUCAAUUAUUUCUUACUUUGUUUGAUUUGUGUGCGUAGCUCUAUAAGUUCAAACACUAAGUCAGUAGCAUAGGAACCAAUUCCUGCACUAAUUAAAAUACCAUCUGGUAAUGAUUUUCAAUGUUCAGAUAGGUUAAAUUAUCACAAAAAAAUAUUUCAGAAUCCAUACACAUAGUUACCACAUAAUUCAUCCUUUUGACUUUGAAUGCUCUAGGAUGGUCUCAGGUUAACUGUCAAUCGAGAUUGCUUCAUCCACAUUAUAUUUCAACCUUUCAAAUCAUCUCAUAGAUUACUUUGAUCAAGACUUUACUAAAUUGAAAUACAGCGAUAUAUCAACUUCAAUAAUCUGGAGGGGUCAAUCCCAUCUUAAUCCACAUACAGACUUUGCAAGUACUUAGUGUAUCCAGUGGCCUUCCGUCACUUCAUUAAAAAUUCAGAUAGUCUGACAUCAAAGCAUUGUGAGUUGGUUGCAAGUUACUAUGAUGAUCUCAGAUCUGAAAGAUACUUAUAUCCAUAUGUUUCGUGAGCAGCUCUUGACAGUAGAACGCUCAGCAGGUGAGUUACCUGUUCAGUGACGAUGUACUUCUACGUCUCACCUGUAUGCCAUAUCAAUAUCACCAUACUCUUUGGUUAAAAAAAUAAUCAAUUCAUAUGGCACACAACGACCUUCACUCGAUAAAUGUCAUCAUCUUGUAAUGACGUAUCAUUUGAUCACAAACAUGUUUAAAAACUAUACGAUAAAUUCUCUCUUUAUCACACACUAACAUAGUUCUAAGAACUUCAUCAUAGCACAAGAGUUCAAAGAAGAUGUAACUUUGGGAUGAAAAAUGUCAUAAUAACUUUUAUUCAUUUAUCAAUUACUCAUAUACAAAGAGAAACUCAAUCGUUAUACGAUUGAUUUUAGGAUAUAAUUUUUAAUAAUAGGAGGAUAUAUUGUUUAGUCUUUAAACCUUAAGUUCAUGACCAAAUGAUAUACUAUUAUUAGGACAAUAGCUAUAUCAAGUAUAGGUCGUUAUGUGCCAUGUACGUUGGUUGUCUUCAUAACCAAAGAGUGUGGAGAUAUUAGUAUGGCAUACAAGUAAGAUAUAGGAGUACAUCUCUUUGAACAUGUUCAACUGCUGAGCAUUCUACUGUCAAGAGUAGCUCAUGAAGGAUAUCGAUAUAAGUGUCCCUUUGACCUGAGAUCAUCACAGUGACUUGCAAGCAACUCAUUAUGCUUUAGUGCUAAACUAUCUAAAUUUUUAAUUCAGUGAUGAAAGAUUUCUGAGUACAGUCAAGUAUUUGAGAAGUCAGUGUAUGAGUCAAGAUGGAAUUGACCCCUCUGAAUAAGUAGGAGUUAAUGUAUCAGUAUGUUUUAAUUUAAUAAAAUCUCGAUCGGAGUAAUCUAUAUGAUGGAUUUUAAAAAUUAAAAUAUAAUGUAGAUGACCAUAUCAAGGUUGACAGUUAAACUCUAGGUCACCUUAAGUAUUUAGGUCAAAAGGAUAAAUUAUACGGUUACCAUAUGCCAAUAGUUCUUGAAUGAUGCUUCACAAUCUUUCGACCUAUCCGAACGUCAGGUAUCAUUGCUAGAUGGUCACUUUGAUUGGUAUAAGAAAAUUAUUCCUAUACUACCGACUUAGGUUCGAAUCUAUGGGGUCACAUUCAAAAAAUUUUUUUGAUUGAUCAUAUGACUGAUCGAUGAUUAAAAAUUAUUCUAGGAUAAAAUAGUCAAUUCGAUUGAUGAUUAAUCAUGUGCAAAAGUUACAAUAAAUUAAUUCACUGAUUGUUGAUGAAUUAUAGGAGGAUUGAUUAGUAAUUAGAAUACUAAUUAGCUUAAUUUGAUUGAACAUUGAGGUUUGGAUCAAAUCUGACUAAAUUGGAUUCAAUUUGGUUUGACCUAAUUAGGUUAUGAGAUAAUCUAAUCGCUAAGGAUGUUCGAUUCCUGAUUUGAUGAGGACUCGAGCUCGAUUAAUUUUUAAUUUAAUUAAAAUUAUUUUUUAUAUAAUUAGAUUAGAUUUAGUGAUCCAAUUGGAUCUAACCUAAUUUGGUUGGGUUAAGAAUUUAACUGGAUGAGAAAAUAAUGCGAAUUUAAAUUUCUUGCGCCUCCUUUCUCUAUGCCCUCUUAUUCUUCAUGCAAAAAAUUUUUUUAUAUAAAUUUUUUUCAUACCCAAAGGUUUUUCUAUAUUUAUAUCUAAUUAUUUUUAAAUUAAAAAUUAAUUGAUUUAAAUUUGAGUUCAAAUAGGUUUGAAUUUGAAUGAAAAUCUAGAGUCCAAAUUAUGUUGGACUCUUCUCUUCAUGCCAUAACCUUUCUCCAUGCAUAAAGUAUUUUUGCAUGAGAUUUUUUACACCAUUAUAAUAUUGGUCGACCCCUCUCUAAGUUCAUAAUAUGAGGAUAAAAGUUUGAUUCAAAAUUUAAUUCAAAUUUAAUUUGAAUUGGUGAUAAGGAUCAACCAACAUUUGAAAUUGAAUCAAAAUUAUCUUUUCCUUAUCCAUAUCUUCCAUAGGACGCCACCCUUAAGAAGGGAUUAGUUUUGCAUGAGAUUAGAAGUGAUUUUUGGCAUGAGAAACUUAAGAGUUUGGGUAUGAAAAGUUGAGAGUGGGUUGGGCUUUCGUGCAUGAGAAACAAAGGAAGUGUUCUUCCUCUCAGACGUGAGGUGUAGGGUCUAGGGUUUCAACUCUAGAUUUUGUGAGAAGAAAAAUACAAGAAUGAGUCUUGUUCAAUCUUUCAUACUACCACCUCCUUAUAACGCUUCAUCUUCUGAUCUGAAAGAGUCCGAGAGAUCCGAAGAAAUGAGCUUGGAUCAGACAUCUAGAGUCUUCGACAUGAGUUAGCACUCUCACGAAGGAAGAUCUGAUCAGGACUUCGAGUGGACGAUCUGUACGACUGUUCGAUAUCAGUGAGAGCUUCAUACCAUACCUAUCAGUAGUGAAGAUCAUUAACCCAUAAAAAGAUGAUGAGUUCUGAACUCAAUCGAUGUGAUCUAAAAGUUAGAUCAGAUUCCGGACAUCAAUGUGAUCGAUACAGUUUUCUAUUUUAUAUCAGAUUUUAUAUGUAAAUUUUUUAUAUCAUAGAUCCUUAAUUGUUAGUUUAGAUCUGAUCCAAGGCAUGUUUAAAAGAUUAAAAUAUUUAAUAUUUUAUUUUUUACUAUAAAAUUUUAAAAAUACAUGCUUUAAACUAUUCAUUUUUCCUUCAUAUAUAAAUAACUAAAGCUCCGAGGAUCAAGAUAAGCUUAGUAAUUCUUCUUAGAGAACUCGUUGCUACUUCUUCAUUCUCUGAAUCUGACUUGAGUAUCAGAGGAUCCUUAUCGAAGCGAAAAUCUUCAGUUUGGACUUGUUUCGUAGGUCACUCCAGUAUCAGCAUCCCUACGUGAGGCUCAAUCAUCCUCUUUCGACCUCGAUCGAAUCAAGCAGCAACAGAUAGAGGAAGAGCAUAAUCAUCAUUAUGCCUCUAAAACAAGCAUCAUCUCGGCUCUAAUGCCACUGCCUCUCGUCAGAUGGAGAGCCAAGCCAACAGUCGGGUACAAUAAUCAACGAUCAAGACUCCUUUGUCAGCCCAGCCGACGUUGGUCCCGGUGGCUCAAUUCAACCUGCUCCUCCAAUAGGUCCGAAACUUGAUGAUAGCUAUUCAAGUAGUUCAAACUAUUCUUACACCUCUCCUAACGAUGUAGCAACCUACUCAGGCUGCCCCUGCACCCCUUUCAGUGGUGCAACCGAUGAUUAUCUUGGCAGCACCAUUGGCGCUUCCUGUCAUGGCGCCCCACCAAAUCCCACUCCACACUCGGCUCCUCAACCAUCAUUACAGUCAAAGUUGCAUGUGCCUCCUCAGAGUCGGAGAGGAGACAGGCUCAUCAGAGCCAUCUCAGGGCCCAACAACCGUUCAGAUGGCGAUCUCCUAGUCUAUGAUCGGGGCACGAUUCAACUCCUGAUCGCCAUUCUUCGCAGCAUUUCGAGGCCUGCACUAUCUGAGAUCUCGAUAUCGAAAGGCAGUUUCAAAUGCUUGGCAAGCAGAUGGAAAAGAAGAUUGAGAAUGCUCUCAAUAAUAACCACUUCUCGACAUAGCCCUAUGAGGGGUUUAAGGGCGAGCUAUCCUUUGCGUCGAGGAUAGUGCAGGAGCCACUCCCUCGAUACUUCAAGCUACCCCAGCUAGAGAUUUACGAUGGGACUGCUGACCCCGUCAACCAUAUGGAGACUUUCAAGAUGGUGAUGCUCCUUCAGAGAGCAUUUAACGUUAUCAUCUGCCGAAUGUUUUCUCUUACCCUCAAAGGGGCCGCCCGACAGUGGUAUUCAAGUUUGAAGCCGACAUCCAUCCACUCUUUCAAAGAGUCAUGUCGGGCAUUCAUCAGUUAUUUUGUCAGUAGCCAAUAACAGCAGAAACGAUCCAACUACCUCCACACCAUCAAGUAGAAGGAGGGCGAGUCGAUAUGUGUUUUCGUCAAUCAUUUUAAUACGGCAACCUUAGAGGUCUGUGAUUUGGACCAGUCGAUCGUGAUGGCCACAAUGAUGGGUGGCCUACUGAAGAAUAAUUUGAAAAAAUUAUUGACGAAGACUUAUCCUCGAGAUUUCUCAUAUAUGCUGGCCCGUAUGGAGAAGUAUGCUCGCAUGGAGGAGGUCUUUGCUAAGGAGACCCCUGCCAGUUCUGUUGCGGCAGGACAGAAUAAGGAGCACCCUCCAAGGUGAUGCGUAGUCAUUGAUAGCACAAAAAAUAACUCUACUCACUAUGUAGGUAAGAUGAGUCAAGAUCGUAUCCUCAGGGACCUUGGGCUAAGUUGAGACUGCAAAAUAAAAGAAAGAAACGUGAUUUUUGAUUUAGAAAAUAAAUUAUCUUAAAAUUGAUGUAGUUAGAAAACAAAGAGCUCGGGAGUUUUGAAUUAAUUUCGCACUAGCAGAGUUGUAUCUCUUUUUUAAUUAAAUAUAUGCGAUUAAUCUUAGAAAAAAUACCUAUCUUUUCUCGGCACGCCCCGUACCCGUAGAUCACGGUGCAUCUCCGAAAAGUACUAGGUAAACAAUUCUUCUUUCCUCGGCACACCCUGUAUCCGUAGAUCACGGCGCGUCUCCGGAAAGUAAAAAUUGUUCCUACUAUUAAUCUAACAGGAAAGCAUAAAUAAAAGCAUAUGAAAGAGAGCAAAUAAAGAACUCAUGACAAUUUAAAUAAAAAGCAUAAUCUUCAUUACAUAUAAAGAAAUACAAGAAAGUUUAGAACAAUAAACCCGCUCUGUGUCGUUACAAAGUUUUUUCUCCACUCCCGAGACUGCUAGCCUAGCUGCUCAUGAAGUAGUCCCUUUUUUUUCUACGCAAGGCUCUAGAAGAAUUUCUGGGAUGUCCUCAAAAAGAAGUACAAGAGCCUUUUUAUAGGUGUUAGGAGGAAAGAGUUUUACAUGAUUUUUCGAUAUGAGACUAAAAAAAAUACUAAAGACCACGCAUCCGAAUGCCGCACCCGCGUCCGUGCCCGCCUGCAUGUCGUCCNNNNNNNNNNNNNNNNNNNNUAGAAAAUUUUUGACCUAAUCUAAUUCAAUACUUAAUUAAAUUUAACCAAUUUUUCUACUUGAUCCCUAUGUAUUUCUAACCCUAGGUCUAACUAUUAGAAGGACCUGAUUCAAGCUAACCCAUUGCCCAUCAUUUUAUGUGGUAUCUUAAUGAUUUUUAAUUCUCAAAUCUGGAUCAUUUAAACUUAAUUCAAAAUUAAGUGUGUGAAACAUUUAUUUUUGUCUAUAGUACUAUUCUAUUAAGAUUUCAGAUGAAGUAUAUCAUAUAUUUCAAUUUAUAAAAAUAAAUUUUCAUAAUAUGUUUAAUAAUUAAACAUAUAUAGGUAUGAUCUAAACUUCAUACAUACAUCUUACGCAUCAUGAUAACUUUUAGAUCAAUACAGUUACAUCUUAUGUAACAUACAAUUCAGAUUUAAAAUAAUUUUAUAUCUGAAUUUUAUCUUAUUAUAAUGAAUUAUAAAUUACUUUAGUUUUAAUCUAAAUAUAUUUAUGAUCAAAAUAAUUCAUAAAAAUCUGUUCACUUUUCUUCUUCAUGAAAUCUGAUCACAAUGACACCCCUACAUGUUAUAAGAGAACUCAUCGAAUAGGCAAAAGAAAGAUUAAUCUCUUCAAUCUUCUAUAACUGAAUGGUCUGAUGAUCUCAUCAAUCUGAGUACUAAGCUACUAAGAUCUGAAAUCUAAUUUCAUAUAUAAUUACAACAACAUGUAAUUAUAGAUAAAAUAAUUUUAUGUCAUGAACAUAUCUUUGAUCUUAUCAAUUAUGUUCUCAUCUAAUCUAAUUAGAUUUGAUGUAUCAUAUACAUUAUAUCAGAUUUGAAACAUAUCUUAUACUGAUUAUAAAAUAUUAAUUUUAGAUUUUAUAUCAUAUAAAAAAUUAUUUAUAUGCAAACAUAAAUGUAUAAGGAAUAAAUUUCUGAUAAAAUCUAUUUUCACAUAGUGUUGAAUUCUGAUAGGAUUCAGAUCUAAAUAUUUAUCAAAAUAUAUCUAAUUCAGAUCUAAAAUAAACCUCACUUUAUAAUUGAAAUAAUAAUAUUAAAAUUUUAUUAAAAUAAAUUUAAAAUAAAUUUUAAUUCAUGUUAUUAUUCCAUCAAAAAUUCAGCAACAGUAGAAUUAUGUUAUAACAAACUUAUAACAAUCUUAAUCAAUAAUUGAUUAGGCUCAUCUAAUCUAAUCAAAAUCAGAUCAAAAAUUUUAUAUAAAUAGAUUUAAAUUAGAUUUAAUAUCUCACAAAAAAUUUUAAUUAUAUCUUAUGAAAUUAAUCUCAAAAAAUUUAGAUAUGCAUGCAUAUAUUUCAGACUAGCUCUGAUACUAAUUAAAGAGAAGGGAAACUGUUUCUCUUCGGAUGACCCAGGUUGCAUCUAAAAUUUUUUUAUUAACCUACAUGAAUAAGAAUCAAAUCUUUACUUGAUUAGCAGUGGAACCAGAGAUCAAAUAUCAAGUAAUCUAAAUUAAAUCUUCACGGAGGUCUAGAAGUGUAGAUCAUCUACUUCGCAUGCACACCAGA